UGCACAGGCAGAUUCAGGUUCAACUGGAGGACGUGUUGAAGCUGUUCCAUUCUGAGCUGCUGUCCCAGUUGGAGCAAAAGCUGGAGUUGGACAUUAAAUAUCUUACCGCCACGUUGAAGAAA